rnacentral:tRNA from 1 species
AGUUAAUUAACUUAUAAGUAAGUAUAUGUCUUGAAAGCAUAAUUAAAGAAGUUCAAAUCUUCUAUUAACUU